UCUGCAUGGAGUUGGAGCUGCCACCA
rnacentral:piRNA from 1 species